rnacentral:lncRNA from 1 species
CGAGACAGAACAGAAGGUCCUUCGAUACCUGCCUUCAAUUAUUUAUUCCUGGGAUGGCAAACAAAUUUAGGACUACCAUUCAACUCAUCAUUCUAGAGAGUAGAGACGUGCUGAUGAUGCAAUGGAUAGCCAAAACUUAACCCGAAGCAUCUGGGAUACUAACAAAUGGCAGGCACAGCAGGAAUUCCACUCGUACAAGUCACCUCAGGAUUUGCACGGUUGAUAGGGGUAAUCCCCCAAGUAUAUAUAUCCUAUCCAGAGAGGGAUUGACUGGAUCGUUCCUACGGCAUUCAAUCCUUUGGGGGUUUACGGUUUAGUGACCCCUCUCCCUCUCUAAUCCCUCUCUUUGAAACCAUCUGUUCGGUUAACGCAGGGAUUGCAACCCUGUGAUUGCUCCACAAGUUUAAACAUAAAACAUAUCACUAUGCUCUCUCCAAAAAAAAUUAAACAUCCCAGUCAUACAAUUCCCAACACAUAUAAUCCUUCUUUGUUCGAAUUAAACACAGAUUUGACGCAUGCUAAAUAAAAAAAUCACAAAAUGGUAAAAUUUAACAUUUAGCAAUGAUCAAAUAUGCUGCAACAGCACAGGAUAUGUAUCAACAGGCAUGUUACCUUCAAGUGCUACAAACAUCAAGCCUAAAGAUGCCUCAACUGGCAGAAUAUAAAUUUACUUCCUCUUUCUCUGAUCCGAUUGCUUUCUCCCACCCUAUAACACCAUGAGACAAACGAGCGAAUAUGCACAAUAAACCAAAGUAGAUUGCAACAAAAAAAGAAUAUGAGACAAUAAUACAAUAAAUGGUCCUAUAAUAUAAUGGGUAUCGUUGUUAAUUUUCAAGUGUACAUGUAGCAGUAGAAAAUGGGGAAAAAAUCACUGAGUCUGUUAAUGAGUAAUAUGCUACAAUCAG